rnacentral:rRNA from 1 species
AGAGUUUGAUCAUGGCUCAGGAUUAACGCUGGCGGCGUGCCUAACACAUGCAAGUCGAACGCGGUAGCAAUACCGAGUGGCAGACGGGUGAGUAACACGUGGUCAACCUACCUCUGUGUGGGGGAUAACUAGCCGAAAGGUUAGCUAAUACCGCAUACGAUCGUUUUGGGGAUCUCGAGACGAUGAAAGGAGCAAUCCGC